CCUGCCCACUGAUAAUAUAAUUUAAAGGCCGCGGUAUUAAUGACCGUGCAAAGGUAGCAUAAUCAUUAGUCUUUUAAUUGAAGGCUUGUAUGAAUGGUUGGACAAAAGGAAAACUGUCUUCUUUAAUAAAAAUUGAAUUUAACUUUUAAGUGAAAAGGCUUAAAUAUUUCAGAGGGACGAUAAGACCCUAUAAAACUUUAUAAAGAAUAAAAUUUAAAUUGAAGUUUAUAUUAAAAAUUAAGGUUUUAUGUUUUAUUAGGUUGGGGCAACUAAGGUAUAAUUUAUAUAUAACUGCUUAAUAAUAUAAACAAAUAUUUUUGUAUUUAGGUUUAAAUGAUCCUUAUUUAAAGAUUUUUAAGAUUAAGUUACUUUAGGGAUAACAGCGUUAUUUUUUUUGAGAGUUCAUAUCGAAAAAAGAGUUUUCGACCUCGAUGUUGAAUUAAAAUUUCUAUAUGGUGUAGUUAUUAUAUAAGAGGGUCUGUUCGACCUUUAAUUUUUUACGUGAUCUGAGUU
rnacentral:rRNA from 1 species